AGCUCCAAUAGCGUAUAUUAAAGUUGUUGCAGUUAAAAAGCUCGUAGUUGGAUUUCUGGGAGAGUGGCGAUGUCCGCUUAACGUGUGUGCAGCGGCGCUCUUCCAUCCUUCUGUUAGCGUCUCUUGGCAUUCAUUUGCUGGUGGCGGGCUCAGAUAUUUUACCUUGAGAAAAUUAGAGUGUUUCAGGCAGGCUAGGCCGGAAUACAUUAGCAUGGAAUAAUGGAAUAGGACUACGGUCUCUUUGUUGGUUUGAGGGACUGCAGUAAUGAUUAAUAGGGAUAGUUGGGGGCAUUAGUAUUUAAUUGUCAGAGGUGGAAUUCUCAGAUUUGUUAAAGACUAACCUAUGCGAAAGCAUUUGCCAAGGAUGUUUUCAUUA
rnacentral:rRNA from 1 species